UACCUCAUUCUAGAUGAGACUGGGUACUGGUGAUACAUAUAGUAUCCAAAAAUUGUUUUGUGGCUCAAUUGCGACACAGGUUAUGCUUCCAUCACAGUAUAUGUGUUGCAGUGGUGACAAUGAGAACUGUGACAUUU